rnacentral:rRNA from 1 species
AUGAGUGAGACGACCCGCCGCCGCCGGGGCCGGCCCCGCCGCCACAGCUCGCCGACGGAGCCUGCCGCUCUGCCGGACGACGACGAUCUCCUACGGGAGAUCCUCCUCCGCCUCCCUCCGCAGCCCUCCUCGCUCAUCCGCGCCUCCGCCGUCUGCAGGCGGUGGCGGAGCAUCACCACCGAUCCUAGAUUCCUCGGCCGCUUCCGCGCGCACCACCGCAAGCUGCCGCUCCUCGGCGCCUUCGAGUACAUCCAGGGCGACCUCGUCUUCACCUCCUUGCUCGACCGCCCCGACCGCAUCCCUCCCGGGCGCUUCGACCUGGGACGCUACAGCGACCACCGCGACUACGGCGUGCUCGGCUUCCGCCACGGCCGCGUCCUCGUCUUAGACCAUGUGCGCAAGGACCUCGUCGUGUGCGCCCCCGUCACCGGCGAGCAGCGCCGCGUGGCCGUUCCGCCCGAGUUCAAGACGGUCCACCUCAACGGGGCCGUGCUCUGCGCUGCCGGCGACCCUGGCCACGUGCACGGUGAAUGCCACUCCAGCCCCUUCAAGGUGGCCUUGGUAUCCUUGUGCAGACAUGACUAUAGACCCCUCGCCAGUGUUUACUCCUCAGAUACCGGGGCAUGGAGCAAUCUCGUCUCGACGGCGGCUCCAUGUCAACUGUUUGAUGCUGGUAUGGAUGGCUCACUCGUUGGUAAAGCACUUUACUGGUUGCUUACAACUAUGGAGGCUGGCAUUGUUGAGUUUGAUUUGGAAGAGCAGAGCCUAGUUGUGAUCAAGGGGCCACCCGUUACAGAUGAUUUCCCCGGUGGUGGUACCCAUCGAAUCAUUCAGGCUGAGGAUGGCGCUGUUGGCUUCGCCAUGAUGUCUUACCCACACUUCCAAACGUGGCAAAGGAACGUCGAUGCUCAUGGUGUUGCCACAUGGGUGCCAUGGAAGACCGUUGAUUUGCGUAACAUUCUCGGGCCCCGUCCUCAGAUUGGGAGAACCAGAAGGAUGGCGCGGUUGACACGAGGCUGGGACUAUGUCAAGGGGACGGGAGGUAUAAUGUGCUAUGUUGAGGAUACUGAUGUAAUUUUUAUACAUAUGGACGUCAAUGUCUACAUGAUUCAACUUAAUUCAAUGCAAUCCAAGAGUAUUCCUGGAAAGCGUUUUAGAAGUGCCUACCAUCCAUUCAUGAGUUUCUAUACACCAGGCACAGCCAUUGCUGGUGGAUAUAACGAAGCUGGGGAUGGCUGA